rnacentral:lncRNA from 1 species
AACAAGUUUAGCUUUUCGGGCAUCAAUUUGAGUAAGAAUCCCUCAUCUUAUUCUCUGUUAUGGAAUUGAAGUCUAAUUAACAAUAAUACAGUAUUUUUUGCAAUUUAUAAAAAUAUCUAUAAUUAAUUAUGGGUUACUAAUAGAGAUACAACCGAAAAUUAUUCUCUGUUGAUUUCUGUUGAUUUAUUUUAUUGUUUGAAUGAAUGACAAUAUCUGACUGAUCGAUUUUAUUAUUUUGAAUGCAUGUAUUGCUGCCUUAUAUGACUACUGUAAAAUUAGAAAACCGAGAUGUGAUUAUAUUUCCUGAUGCAUGCUAUGUUUGUUUUAUGUGAUUACAGUUGAAUUGGAAAACUGGAGAUUAAAGGAAAAUAAGAAAUUGUGUGAUGAAGUGAAUGGACGAAACAACAGCCUUACUGGAUAUCUUGGGAGAUGGUGGACAGACUGGGUACAUAGGGAACUCUACUGUGAACGUUACCUCAUACUGGACAGGGUAUCGAGGUUUGGUAAUUUAGCGCUCAUACCGGACAGGGUAUGAGGACGACUCGCUUCAUCCCCAUACCGGAUGGGGUAUUGAGGUUUUGUAAUUUGACGUUCAUACUGUACGGGAUAUGGGGACGGUCCGUUAAUUGAAAAUUUUAAAGGAAAGAGUUCACGCAUUCUGAAGACAUCCUUAUGAACUCUCAUGGAUACCAAUAGACUGAUAAAAGAGAAAUUAUUAUUCCAACUGAUUGCAUAUAAAAUCAUGAUAUGUGUUAUGUUAUUAACUCUACAGGUUAUUUUUGUGAAUCUCGCUACAGUACGCAGACGGUAAACGAUUUUGUUACGAUAAAUGAAUUUGAUUAAUUAAG